ACACUACUACAAAAGUUUACAUACAUAACAGUGCAUAGAUAACGGUUUUUUUCAAAAACCGUUAUGUAUGAGCGCACUUUUAGGAAUAGAUAACAGUUUUGCAAAAAUCCGUUAUCUAUGUAGUGUUGUCUAUAUGCAUAGAUAACGGUUUCAAUUAAUUCGUUAUGUUUUUGCGUUAUCUAUUAGUUACAUACAUAACGGUAUUACAAACCGUUAAGCCGACCGUUAUCUAUGUGCGUAUUUUUGAACUCUUAGAUAACGAUUAUUGAAACCGUUAACUAAAAGUGUUAUGUAUGCUAUUAUUUCAUUUAAUUUUUUAUUUUCAUAAUUAAUUUAUUAAUUAAAUAAUUUAAAAUAUUGUAUUCUAUCUCUCAUCUCUUCCCCAAAUCUCUCUCUCUCUCUCUUCGCGAUCUCUCCCUCUUUGAGAGAUAGUCGCCGCCGCUGCCGAGGCAAGUUCCGGCGAAUGGUAGCUAUUCGCGCUCUUCCGGCGACAUCGGUCGCCGCGACCUCGCCUCUCCAUUUUCCUCUAACAUAUAGCUAGGGCAAAGGUUGAGCCCUAGUUCUUCUCGCUCCCACCCACCCUGCAUCGCGUCGCCUCUGACGCCGCUCUUCUCGCAGCAGCAGAUCGGGCGGCGGAGCACCCUUCUCCCCUCCACCGAGCACGAGCAAACCACCCCUCUCCUCCACCGACGCCGCUCUUCUUGCAGCAGCAGCAGCAGAAGAUCGGGCUUUUUGCUUCUCCGUCUGCCACCUACCGCACCCGUCUCUCUUUAUCCGUCCGUUAGCCCUAGCAGCUGCCGCCGGUCGAGCUCUCAAUCGCAGACCCUAGGAGCCGCCGCUGUCGCCGCCGCCUUCUACAAUAGCCACCACCAAGGUAGAAUCCCUAAUUAUACAUCCCUUACGCAAAUCUCAUUCCAAAUCCCUAAUUUUAGGCUUUUAUUAUAGAUUUGUCAUAAAUAUUGGAGGCUUCAUCAUCGAGGUGCAGAUGGGGAUGAAGCUCUGUGGCUUUGAUUCAGUGGCGCGAAUAGGCUUUGUCUACGCCGCAUUGAUUCUCAACUUUGUGUUUUGCUGCCAGCUUCUCCUCCUCCAACCGCUCGUUGCUGCAG
rnacentral:lncRNA from 1 species